rnacentral:rRNA from 1 species
GACGAACCGUACGAACGUUAUUCGGAAUCACUGGGCUUAAAGGGUGCGUAGGCGGCGCAGAAAGUAGGGUGUGAAAUCCCUCGGCUCAACCGAGGAACUGCGCCCUAAACUACUGUGCUCGAGGGAGAUAGAGGUGAGCGGAACUUAGGGUGGAGCGGUGAAAUGCGUUGAUAUCCUAAGGAACACCGGUGGCGAAAGCGGCUCACUGGAUCUCUUCUGACGCUGAGGCACGAAAGCUAGGGUAGCAAACG